CUACAGAAAGAUCUCCUAAAUCUUAAAAGGAGUCUUCACAAAAUCAGCAUCUGGAAAUUUGUUAAACCUGAAGGUUAUGAUGAUCCUGUUGACAUCCUUCACAAUAUGUGUACAAGAAAUUUCUAUUUAAAAUAUUCUUGUCAGCUUACAUUCAACCCCAACACAUUAAACCGACACCUCCAUCUG